rnacentral:rRNA from 1 species
UACGGAGGGGGCUAGCGUUGUUCGGAAUUACUGGGCGUAAAGCGUGCGCAGGCGGUUCGUUGUGUCGGUGGUGAAAGCCCCGGGCUUAACCUGGGAAUGGCCAUGGAAACUGGCGAACUGGAGUGUGGCAGAGGGGGGUGGAAUUCCGCGUGUAGCAGUGAAAUGCGUAGAGAUGCGGAGGAACACCGAUGGCGAAGGCAGCCCCCUGGGCUAGCACUGACGCUCAGGCACGAAAGCGUGGGGAGCAAACAGG